UACGUAGGGUGCGAGCGUUAAUCGGAAUUACUGGGCGUAAAGCGUGGGCAGGCGGUUCGCCAAGUCAGGUGUGAAAUCCCCGGGCUUAACCUGGGAAUUGCGCUUGAAACUAGCGGGCUUGAGUGUGGCAGAGGGGGGUGGAAUUCCACGUGUAGCAGUGAAAUGCGUAGAGAUGUGGAGGAACACCGAUGGCGAAGGCAGCCCCCUGGGUCAACACUGACGCUCAUGCACGAAAGCGUGGGGAGCAAACAGG
rnacentral:rRNA from 1 species